rnacentral:rRNA from 1 species
AGGACUAACGCUGGCGGCGUGCCUAACACAUGCAAGUCGAACGAUCUUUGAUUAUAGCAAUAUUAUUAAAGAGGAGUGGCGAACGGGUGAGUAACACGUAGAUAAUCUGCCUUCAGACGGGGACAACUCAGGGAAACUUGUGCUAAUACCCGAUGAGACCACAAGAAGGGAUUUUUGUGGCCAAAGGCGGGCAGCAAUGCUCGUGCUGAAAGAUGAGUCUGCGUCCUAUCAGCUAGUUGGUGGGGUAAAUGCCUACCAAGGCUAAGACGGGUAGCCGGCCUGAGAGGGUGAACGGCCACACUGGGACUGAGACACGGCCCAGACUCCUACGGGAGGCAGCAGUGAGGAAUUUUCCGCAAUGGGCGCAAGCCUGACGGAGCGACGCCGCGUGAGGGAUGACAGCUUUCGGGUUGUAAACCUCUUUUAUUAAGGAAAAAGAUCUAUAUGCUAAUAUCAUGUAGAUUUGAUGGUACUUAUUGAAUAAGCCCCGGCUAACUACGUGCCAGCCGCCGC